GGUUGGUGGGUUGGGGUAGCAGCAGGAUAGCCGUGGUGAACCUCAGGGAUGAAACUACCCUCCCAACCUCCCCCCAGAGGCACAGGUCAGGGGUCCAGCCUGGACCUGGCACGCACAGGCCCACCUCACCUCCCUGCAGUGGAAUCCCACCCCAGAAGUUUGGUAGGGUUGACCUGGCUGGGCUCAUAUCCACUUGACAGGCAGGAGUGCAGGCAGCUCCCUUUUUGCUGCUGCAUCAACCCCCUGUGGCAGAGAUUUAUGUGGGAGAGUGAUGUAGCUUUAUCCUGUCUGUCUCUUUCUUCAGCCCAGGGAAAUGAUGUGUAUGAGGAGUCUAGAGAGGGACACACUUAGGAGGAGAAGGAACUUGUGGUAGGGCUAGACAUCCUGAGGUGUCUGAGGGGUCAGGGGAGGACUCCAGAGCCCGAACUCUGACCCCGGUGCCCAGCCCCUUCUCCACUAUGACAGACCGUGGCAUCCCAGAACCUGCCAGGGAAGGGACCAGCCAUACACAGCAUCCUUCCCAAGUGGCUUGCCCUAGGUCACCCUAUAGAUGAAGAGGCUGGGCUUCUGGCCUAUGGUGAGGGGUCAAGGGUACAUCUGAUCCAACCCUGGGACUCAGAAGAGCAGUGGUAGAGGGGUGCCAAGACAGGGCAUCAGCCUUGAGCCAUCUUGAAGACAGUCAGUAGGGCCACAGGACUGCUCUGUCCCCGGGCCACCCCCUAGCCCAGGAACUCUGGCCCAGAGGAUCAACUGCAUUGGAGCCAGGGUAUCUGUGAGCAGGUCUGCCCCUGCUUGUCCUGUCAAUAUGGUGCCAGGACCUCACGUCCCACAGAGGGCGCUCCCCUCUGUGGGCCUGACAGCCACCAAGUCCCCUCUACAACCUUCAGAAGAGGUUUUGGCGGGAAUGGGCUCAACUUCUACACCCCAUGGCCAGCCAGGGAGCUCCAGCUUGCUCAGACCUCUGUACUUCUCCGUUCCAGAUCACCUCGCAGGAACUCGGCCCCGCCGCUUCCCACUGGCCCAGGGAACUGGGCUCCGGAUGCCAACUAGCUGUCCUCUGGUCUCAGCUCCUGCCUCUACGGUAACCGAGGUCCUGCAGUGCUCCCGGUUCCAGAGGCCAAAACAGUGCGGAGCAGUGCAGGUGGAGCUGGCCUGCACGUGAGGGUCUCCUGGGGGAGGGCCGCCUGCUCAGGCCAUGAUCUCAUGGUUCAGGAGUUUGAGCCCCGCAUCAAUCUCUGCUCUGAAGGCAUGGAGCCUGCUUGGGAUACUGUCUCCCCUUCUCUCUGCCACCCUUCUCUCAAAAUAAAUAAACUUAAAAGAAAAAAAAAGAACCUCCUGGGGGAGCUUUGAAUCCACACUUUGACUGGACUCCCACCUCAUACUAAUUAACUCCAAACCAUUAGGCCACUAGGCUAAAAGUGCAAACUCAGAACAUCCACAGCGGGGGACAGUCCCGAGUGGCAGUAACAGAGGGCAUGGUGUGAUGGGCUGAGUGUGGCAGGGGCCAAAAGGCGCUCAUGCCCUGCUGCGUUCAAAAAACAAGACUUUGGAAACUGCUGGGCUAGCCUCACGACAGCACAGCCACAGCCUGGGAGAAACCUGUCGCCUGGAUGGCAAGACCUCACUCAGCCAGCUGAGUCUCUGUGUUCUGACCCAUCCUACCUGUGCAGAACAGGCUGGACCCACGUAGUGCUUUUUCUUUCUAUCGGCCUAAGAGUUGAUGUAAAAAAAAAAAAAAAGAGAAAGAAGUUCUAGAGAAAAAAAAAAUGUUCUAGAGAAUCAGAGGGGAGUUUCAGAUGUCCAUGAAAAUAGCAACCAGAAAACAGUAAUCCUAGCCCCUAACCCAGACCCUUAUUUCCUGGGAGAUCCUACUGUGGGCUCCUACCUGGUUAGCUGUCCUAAAGAGGGCAGGGUAUAGUGAGAUGGUACGGGGGGCAGGAGGCAGGAGUCUGAAGCUUGCAGCCACUGCCUGAUAGCUGUGGGCUCAUCAUGUCAGUUUCCUAAUGUGCUCGAUGCAAAUAAUAAAAGUCCCUGCCUCGUAGGUUGUUCCGCUGCCACAAGACACUGCCCACACAGCCCCAGUGCUGUUCCUGGUGGGCAGGGGCGCCCCCUCCUGGCAACUAGGAAACCCGGACGUGAGGCAAGCUAGGCAGCCCUUGCUGACCAGGCCAGCAGGUCGGAGAAACCCUCGCUCCUGCAUGAAGUAAGGUGGGCGGGUCAGAGACAGAACCCUGCUGACAACGGCUGGAUGGCUGGAGGGAGAAAGGGCUUGGGCAGAGGAGGGGGGCUGGACAGAGCUCUCCAGCUGGGCCCUCCCAGGUCUUAGGGCUGUGGCCAUGGACCCCAGCCACUGUUGCUCUUGCCCCUACAGCUCCAACGGUAA
rnacentral:lncRNA from 1 species